UACGAAGGGUGCAAGCGUUACUCGGAAUUACUGGGCGUAAAGCGUGCGUAGGUGGUGGUUUAAGUCUGUUGUGAAAGCCCUGGGCUCAACCUGGGAAUUGCAGUGGAUACUGGAUCACUAGAGUGUGGUAGAGGGUAGCGGAAUUCCCGGUGUAGCAGUGAAAUGCGUAGAGAUCGGGAGGAACAUCCGUGGCGAAGGCGGCUACCUGGACCAACACUGACACUGAGGCACGAAAGCGUGGGGAGCAAACGG
rnacentral:rRNA from 1 species